rnacentral:lncRNA from 1 species
UUAUUGAAUGACUUAGCGAAAUGACAAAUUGUAUGCAAUUAGUAGCCCAUAUAAAGACCUUUGACAGGUCCAGGUGAGUUGAGGCAGGGCUUAAGGUAAGCCCAACAUAGCCAGACCUCUUGUGAUUGCAAAUUCCCAACCGCUGGGCCAGUUGUGCGAACAUGCCCAUUUUAUAUUGUUACUAGCCAAAUGAAAUCUAUAGGUCAUUGAAUAGCUUAAACUAACGACGCAUCUGAUGUAAAUUUCAUAAAUACUCCUCAAUCAAACUAACAAGACAUCUGAUGUGAAACUCAUAACUACAUAAUCACAUUCAGCUUAAUAAGUCUCGACUGCUAAUGUAAUUCACUUACUGUGAAUUGUGAUUAUUACAUGCCUUAUCCAUAAAUCCAAUAAAUAAACCAUCAUGCUUAUGAAUACAACAUUAAUAAAUUAUCUUUGACUUGUAUUAGCUAUAACACAUUUAACAUAGAUUACAAAGUAGCCAACAUUUACGUGUACAUACAAUGCUUAAUCAAAUAUAUCCUGUUAUAAACCAUGGACUCAAUCCACAAAGUAAUCAGCCCUUUUAUUAAGAAAAAAUGAAGAUCUCAAGAUGAGUGCCUUUAAUAGAAUGCCUGGACUCUAAUUUGAGAGCUCCUGGAAUCAACAUUUACAGUCACAAUAUCUAAACCACAACUUAUAAUAAUUGCUGAGAUUUCCAAAUGUGAAUUGAUAUAUAGAAAAAUAUGCAAAUUAUAUCGCAUGUUAUUACAGUUGAUGAAUCAUAAACAAGUAUCUUGAUUAGCUCAGGAUCAAACAAAUUGAACACUAAGAGAACAUUUCAGAAAAAAAACACAUAGAAAUAGGAAAUCAAGGUUCAACAGAAUCAUUCAACAUGUUUAAAUAACUUCAGAAAUAGGUCUUAUAGAGCUAAACAAACCUAUAAGGAUUCCGUGUGUUCCUAUGAUUCAUGAUAAAGUAGAGUAACAAAUACCCAACAAAGGCAGAAGGAAAAGCAAUUGAAGCUCAGCUAACAACAAUCAGUAGAUCCAACAAUAAACAACAAACAACUCUAGAUUUCAAUUUGAAAAAAAAUAGCUUUAAAUCCUCCUUUUUUUUGUUUUUUUUGUUUUCUGUAUUUAAAUUGAAUUUUCCAGAGUGUUUUCUUUGAGAGAAAAUCAGUGAAGAUGAGGGAGUGUAUGUGUAAUUUCUGCAGAGAAUUCUAUGUGUGUGUGUGUGUAGGAAUGUGAGGUCUCUUACAUAGAAUAUGUAUAUGCUAUAUAAGAGAAUGAGAGAGGGUCUAGAGGAGAAUCUUCCAACCUCCUAAAAUUUAGGAAAAUGAUAUCUUUUUUAACCAAAAAGGGACAACUGUGCUUCAGCUGGUCAUUUCCUAUUUUCCAACCCCCUUUAACUUCUGAAAUUACCUCUUUCCCACCUUAAACUUACUUAAUUGCACUUGUUUUAUUGUACUUUAAUCCCUUCUAUAGGCUUCUUGCAUAACUAAAUAAAAUUCCAUAUUUUUUUCCCUAAUUACCCCCUCAAGUUUCUGGUAAUUACAAAAUAGCUAUACCAAAAGAAAUAAUACGUAUCAACACAAGAAACAAUAAUGCAAAAUCAAACUUAUUUCAACAUCUGAUUAACUCAAAAGUUGAUUAAACUAACAAUUCAUGCAAUUAAAACUACUUAACAUGCUAUUAAAUUGCUAAUCAUGCGACUAACUAAGAAAUCCAAAUAUGUGAAUAUUCAACACAAAUGUACUAAACUAGAUGUUAAUCUACAUUUAAUUAGCUAAUUUAUGAGCUAAAGCUAAUCUAAUUAAGCUAGUUUAAAUACUCAACAAACAAUUUCGAUUAAAUGCCUAGCAAACUGUUCAUUUUUUUUAAACAAAUAAAACGAAAAUAGUAUAGAAUAGGGAGAGGAUGUACCUAUGAAAAGAAAUAUGAACUGAUAGAGGCAAUUCCAACGAGGUCCGGCCAGUUAGGGACGAAUCGACUGGAUUCCGAUGACUUUCGAAGUGAACCUAAAUUAAUGUCAGUUGAUUGUUCUUGUUGAAGAACAAUCGAUCAACACAAAUUUUAGGUCAAAUGAGUUAAAAAUAUCGAGAAAAUAAAAAGGGGAACAUAUUAGGUAUUUUAAAGUUUUAGAUCUACUAUUUGUUGAUUUUGGUGAGGAUUUCGGUGAAAUUGGUAAGGUAUUUGGAUUGAUAAGAAGUUGAGGAUUAUGAGGUGUGAAUUUGAGGGAGAUUGGAGUUGUUUGGGGGUGGUGCCGCCGGUCAGAGGUGGAUUUGCAAAUGAAGGCGACUAGGGUUACGGAGUGUUUGAGAGAGAUGAGGGAAUGAGUGAUUUUUCAGGGUUUGGGAGGG